UGCUGAAUCCUACUCCCAACUAAAUCGACACUGAACUGAUCACUAGACUGUAAUAGGCUUGACUAAACUGACACUGAUCAUGUUGAUUGACUGAAAUGGAAUAAGUUUACUGAGUUCUAUUAACUGACUGAGUACUACUAAUCUUGACCUUUACUAGGACUAUUCUAUAACUACUGUAACUAAGUAAACAACUAGAUUUUAGGUAAUAAAUACCCCUAGGACUCGAUAACAUAAUU
rnacentral:lncRNA from 1 species